UACGUAGGUGGCAAGCGUUGUCCGGAAUUACUGGGCGUAAAGUGUGCGCAGGCGGCAAGGCAAGUCGAGUGUGAAAGCCCCGGGCUUAACUUGGGAAUUGCGCUCGAAACUACUUUGCUGGAGUGUGGCAGAGGAAGGUGGAAUUCCACGUGUAGCGGUGAAAUGCGUAGAGAUGUGGAGGAACACCAAUGGCGAAGGCAGCCUUCUGGGCCAACACUGACGCUCAUGCACGAAAGCGUGGGGAGCAAACAGG
rnacentral:rRNA from 1 species